rnacentral:rRNA from 1 species
AUUGAACGCUGGCGGCAUGCCUUACACAUGCAAGUCGAACGGCAGCACGGGAGCAAUCCUGGUGGCGAGUGGCGAACGGGUGAGUAAUAUAUCGGAACGUGCCCAGUAGUGGGGGAUAACUGCUCGAAAGAGCAGCUAAUACCGCAUACGACCUGAGGGUGAAAGGGGGGGAUCGCAAGACCUCUCGCUAUUGGAGCGGCCGAUAUCAGAUUAGCUAGUUGGUGGGGUAAAGGCCUACCAAGGCAACGAUCUGUAGUUGGUCUGUGAGGACGACCAGCCACACUGGGGCUGAGACACGGCCCAGACUCCUACGGGAGGCAGCAGUGGGGAAUUUUGGACAAUGGGCGCAAGCCUGAUCCAGCAAUGCCGCGUGCAGGAAGAAGGCCUUCGGGUUGUAAACUGCUUUUGUCAGGGAAGAAAUCCUCUAGGUUAAUACCCUUGGGGGGAUGACGGUACCUGAAGAAUAAGCACCGGCUAACUACGUGCCAGCAGCCGCCGCGGUAA